rnacentral:rRNA from 1 species
UACAGGGGGGGCAAGCGUUGUUCGGAAUUACUGGGCGUAAAGGGUUCGUAGGUGGCCACCUAAGUCAGACGUGAAAUCCCUCAGCUUAACUGGGGAACUGCGUCUGAUACUGGGUGGCUUGAGUGCAGGAGAGGAAUGCGGAAUUCCAGGUGUAGUGGUGAAAUGCGUAGAUAUCGGGAGGAACACCAGUGGCGAAGGCGACUACCUGGCCUGUUCUUGACGCUGAGGCGCGAAAGCUAGGGGAGCAAACGGGG